UUAAAUUGAAGAGUUUGAUCAUGGCUCAGAUUGAACGCUGGCGGCAGGCCUAACACAUGCAAGUCGAACGGUAGCACAAAGGAGCUUGCUCCUUGGGU
rnacentral:rRNA from 2 species